GAUGAACGCUGGCGGCGUGCUUAACACAUGCAAGUCGAACGGAAAGGCCAGUGCUUGCACUGGUACUCGAGUGGCGAACGGGUGAGUAACACGUGGGUGAUCUGCCCUGCACUUCGGGAUAAGCCUGGGAAACUGGGUCUAAUACCGGAUAGGACAAUGGUUUGGAUGCCGUUGUGGAAAGUUUUUUCGGUGUGGGAUGAGCUCGCGGCCUAUCAGCUUGUUGGUGGGGUAAUGGCCUACCAAGGCGUCGACGGGUAGCCGGCCUGAGAGGGUGUACGGCCACAUUGGGACUGAGAUACGGCCCAGACUCCUACGGGAUGCAGCAGUGGGGAAUAUUGCACAAUGGGCGCAAGCCUGAUGCAGCGACGCCGCGUGGGGGAUGACGGCCUUCGGGUUGUAAACUCCUUUCGCUAGGGACGAAGCGUAUUUGUGACGGUACCUGGAGAAGAAGCACCGGCUAACUACGUG
rnacentral:rRNA from 1 species